rnacentral:lncRNA from 1 species
GACAAGAUUUUGACAAUGGACAAGUCACUCACCUUCUAACAUGUCCACUUUCCUGUGGAUGAAGUGGAAUUUUCCAAAAGCAGGAGUACAGUGCUGCCUGUUACUCUUGUGAAACUCUCAAUCUCUUGGUGAACUACUGGUAUUAUAAAGGAGUGCCGUAUUAGCGGAGGUGCAAACAAAAUGCUUCAGUGCUUUUGAUUCCUUUGGCUAAGGAUAGGUCUUAAUUUUGAAUAUUUUUUUUCCUACUAGGGCCAAUUUCAAAAAAAAUCAAGUUUGCAUUCACAUGUUUAAUAA